rnacentral:SRP_RNA from 1 species
GCUGGGUGUGGUGGCUCACGCCUGUAAUCCCAGCACUUUGGGAGGCUGAGGUGGGUGGAUCACCUGAGGUCAGGAGUUCAAGACCAGCCUGACCAACAUGGCAAAACCCCGUCUCUU